rnacentral:tRNA from 1 species
UAGGUUAAAGCCCGCUGGGUUGGGUGUUUAGUNGUUAAUUAAAAUUUUACGGGAUCGAGGCCCGUUAGCCUAGU